rnacentral:lncRNA from 1 species
UGCAUCAUACACACUUGGUGAGCAAGGAGAGGGGAGGAGGGCAGGGAGUCCUCUCCGGCCCUGGAAAGGAUGGGAAAGGAUGCCUACCAGAUGUUUCUUCAACCCCUCUUUCUCAGAAACCCUGCUCAACAGCUAAGAACUCCAUUAAACACCACGAGAGUCACUCAUCAUGCUAGCCUCUGAAUUAGUACAUGUCAUCCUAGAAUCAGAAGAAGGUCCAAGGCUUCCCCGGCCAGGAGAAAAACAGGUACACGGGCGGGCGUGUUCCCUGGGGCACUCGGUGAACUGUCUACAGCCAGCAUAGUGAGCCUUGAGGGCAAACAGAUGCAGCCCUCAUCCUCGGUGUGCUCCACCAACGCAGGAGAGCGCUGCCCUCUAGCGAGCAAAAUGGGAGACUCAUUUCAGCUUGCUUCUCAGGAGCUUCGUGAACGCAGGAACUGCAAAGAUUGAAAAAUGCAAAGGAUCCCUUGCAAAUGUCUGAAAGAACCUUGAAAACUAAUCUUUAUGAACUCUCCAACUGUUUGUUGUAGUCUACCUGGACUAGGGAGAUAGGUACACAAAAUGGGUGAAUCUUAAAAAAAAAUAAAGAUGAGAGAUAACUAGUAAUAGAUCCAAAGGAAAGAUGUGAUGAGUGGUUUAAAACAGCUUUUGGGGCCAGACAGGUUAAGUGAUAUCGUCCAUUAUUCCAGAUGAUUCUGUCCUAAACACCGUGCUUCCUCUCUCGAGUGCUGACAUAAAAUAACGUUACCUCAGCUGCUGUUUUACACAUAGGAAAAAAAUGAGACUUUGGAAUCU